UUUAACGGCCGCGGUAUUUUGACUGUGCUAAGGUAGCAUAAUCAUUAGUUUUUUAAUUGAAAGCUGGAAUGAAAGGUUUGAUGAAAAAAUAGCUGUCUCAACCUAAAAAUUUUGAAUUUUAUUUUUAAGUUAAAAAGCUUAAAUUUUUAUAAAAGACGAGAAGACCCUAUAGAGUUUUAUAUUUAUUUUUAAAGUUAAAAUGUGGAAAUGGUAAUUUAUUUUAAAAGCAAGUAUUUGAUUGGGGUGAUUANAAAAAUUUAAUUAACUUUUUUUGUUUCUUUUCAUUAAUAAAUGAAAAAAAUGAUCCUUUUUUAAAGAUUAAAAGAAAAAAUUACCUUAGGGAUAACAGCGUUAUUUUUUCUUAGAGUUCAAAUCGAAGNAAAAG
rnacentral:rRNA from 1 species